GACGUAGGGCGCGAGCGUUGUCCGGAUUUAUUGGGCGUAAAGAGCUCGUAGGCGGCUUGUCGCGUCGUCCGUGAAAACCAGGGGCUCAACCCCUGGCUUGCGGUCGAUACGGGCAGGCUAGAGUUCGGUAGGGGAGACUGGAAUUCCUGGUGUAGCGGUGAAAUGCGCAGAUAUCAGGAGGAACACCGGUGGCGAAGGCGGUUCUCUGGGCAUGUCCUGACGCUGAGGAGCGAAAGUGUGGGGAGCGAACAGG
rnacentral:rRNA from 1 species